UACGGGGGGGAGCAAGCGUUGUUCGGAUUUACUGGGCGUAAAGGGCGCGUAGGCGGCCACCGCAAGUCGGUGUGAAAUCUCCGGGCUUAACCCGGAAAGGUCAAUGAUACUGCGGGGCUAGAGUGCAGAAGGGGCAACUGGAAUUCUCGGUGUAGCGGUGAAAUGCGUAGAUAUCGAGAGGAACACCUGCGGCGAAGGCGGGGUUGCUGGG
rnacentral:rRNA from 1 species